ensembl:lncRNA
CCAAUCAUGAUCCCCUCACCUAUAACCAAUUCAUCUGCUUAUUGUGGACUAUUUCAAAACAGUUUAACAUGGAUAUUAUAUUACCUUUUCACUUUUAUUAUGCCUCUGUCCCAACUUUUGUGGAGUGUGUUGCAGCCAUCAAAAUUAAAAACUUUUAAUGGUGCCUUUGUCAAUUAAAUGAAGGUUAAAGACAAACAUACCACAUAUUCUUGGUUUUAUUGAAUUUUACAAAACGUCCAAACUUUUCUGGAAUUGGGUAUUGAAAUACAUUACAAAUAAAAAAAUACUUUCAAAACAAUUAGAUGUAGCUGAACACCUACUUAGGUGAUAGUCUUGCAGUUUUAUUACCAUAUAUAAAGAUUUUGUACUGUAAUAUAAACUUGGACCAUGUAACAUAUACUUGCAAUGAAUUCUCUAAACAGAGUGGUGUCAUUGUUAUUUUCUGGGGACAUUUUACAAAUAAAAACAUAGUAUAGUGCUACCUGUUUUUAGUGUUUUAGGGCAUUGAAUGACAACAUGCUUGCUGGGUGACAACCUUUGCUAGUGUAACGGAAGAAUGAGUUGAUCUGAUUCAUGUAUGAAACAUACUCAGGAAUUAUGAAAACAUUGAAUUUUUUUGUCCUGAUAUUUAAUUUUCCUGAGCUCAUCAAGUUACAUGUUGAUUCCACUAGGUGGCGCCUGCAGUCAAGCUGGAGAAGUUACAGUAAAUUCAAUCUAUGCUAAAAUCUUGUCACUCCUCCCCUUACAAAGCAACCCAACCUACCAGUCACAUUAAGAGGAAUAGCAACAGAUUAAUCACUGACUAUUGAGUACACACCAGAGACAGACACUGUUCAGUAGUGCAGAAAAGCCCAUUGCCAUCAAGAGAAACAUGGAUUCCAGAAAGUCUACAACAGUGCGGAAUUCAGAAACAGGGCAGUCUUUGCUUCCACUGCAGCAGGGCCCUCCGGAGUACUCCGAUGCUGGAUUCCCUCUCUCACACAGCUAUCCAGGCACUCCCCAGCAAUACGGAGCUCCGCUGGCGUCUGGCCUGUACACUCAAGGGUCAUAUCUUGGGCAGAAUGUGGUCAGUGUGCAACCUACCGUUGAAGUGUUCACUCCACUGGCCAAUCCACUGCCAGAUUACCUGGGCUACUCCAUCUUUACCAUGAUGUGCUGCUGUUUACCUCUGGGAUCGGCUGCUCUUGUUUACUCCAUCACAACUCGAGAUGCUAACAUGUUUGGACACCAGCAAAUAGCAAGCAGAAACUCUAGAAUGGCACGCAUCCUCAACCACAUCAGUGUUGCUGUUGGCCUAAGCUUCAUUUUGAUUAUUAUAAUCUACCUCAUUCUUGCUGUUGUUGUAACUACUACACGCUAUGGCAAACCGUAAUUGUAAGCAAUGUCAUGGUAGGACACCAGAAAGUUGAAGAAAGUGAGGGUUUUAGAAACAUGAGUAUAUUAUGUUUUAAAUACAAGAAGAUUUUCCAUUCUGCUUUUAAAUGUUAAUUUUGCUCAAGGUAUUUUUUAUAUGAUUGCUUUUAGACUUUACUGUAUGUAUGAGGAGCUCCAUCUAGGGAUGAUUCAGUAUGUUUAGUGUAACUAACUCCUCACCAUAUCAUUGUUUUUACAUAAUUAAAAGACAUGCUUUUUAAAGUUAAUUAUUUUUUUGUUUUAAAACAAUGGAAGCUUUAACUGUUAAAGUAAAUGCAGCAUCAAUUAAAAAAAAAAUUCUACUUGUCUUUAAAUUAGGCUACAUAAAACUUGGAAUAAUUAUGUCAUAACUUUUAUCAUUGUCUGUUUUUUCCAUAACACACUAACAUUUUCAUUUUCUCUGGUUUUUAGUUUAGUUUUAUAAUCUUCUUCAUCAUCAACAUCUUCUUCUUCUUCUUGAAUGAAUGAAUGAAACAUUUAUAUAGCGCUUUAUUGUGUAUUGCUGUACACCCAAGGCACUUUAUAAUCAUAUCAUGGGAUUUCUCCUCAACCACCACCAGUGUGCAGUCACCUGGUUGAUACGACGGCAGCCACAGUACAACAGCGCCAAUGCGCUCACCACACAGCUAUUCAUAGUUUCUGUCACGUGACUGGCUCGAAGACCUGGUGGGCAAAACAUCCACAGAACUGCAGCACAAGCCUGUCAAUUUUCUAUCUGCACUCAAAAAAAUGACUCUUUGGCUGAACAUGAUUCUUUCAUGGACAGUGGUUCCACAUGUUUGUACCAUGUUAUUUGGACAUGAAUAAAUCAAGGACAUGUCUACUUUUAGUUGAGUUU